GGGUUCUUGGCGACCACACCCAGAUCUCAGGGAAACCGGGCUAGGCCCAGGGCUCCAGAAAUCUCCCACUUCUCAAGGACCCACCCGGGAGGGAGCCUGAGCCAGCAGCAGAGAGCAGGGCAGGCAGAGGGACCCUUGGGGCGCGCCGCUGGGAGUCUCCGCCCGAGGACCCAGCCCGCAGAGGCCAGGCCACACGCCGCACGCCACUGCCCAGCAGGAAGCACCGGGCCAGCCGCUGUAGGUGAUAAAAUGGCUCGACUUUGCCCAGCCUUCAGGUGGCCUGUGGCGUGCACGCCUUCCUAGUCCCACCAGGAGCCAUCGACCCCACCCGCUUCUCUGCCUUCUCUCCUGCACUCCGUCCCAACCCACCACCACCAUGGCUGCCCUGAUCGUAGAGAACUUCCGCUUCCUGUCACUCUUCAAGAGCAAGGAUGUGAUGAUUUUCAAUGGGCUGGUGGCACUGGGCACAGUAAGGGCAGCCAGGAGCUGUUCUCUGUGUGGCCCU
rnacentral:lncRNA from 1 species